rnacentral:rRNA from 1 species
UACGGAGGGGACUAGCGUUGUUCGGAAUUACUGGGCGUAAAGGGCGCGUAGGCGGGCUGCGGCGUCCGGGGGGAAAUCCUCCCGCCCAGCGGGAGAACGGCCUCGGAUACGGGCGGCCUGGAGGGGGGUAGGGGCGGGCGGAACUGGGGGUGGAGCGGUGAAAUGCGUUGAGAUCCACAGGAACUCCGGUGGCGAAGGCGGCCCGCUGGACCCCACCUGACGCUGAGGCGCGAAAGCCAGGGGAGCGAACGGG